rnacentral:lncRNA from 1 species
GUCACGAUAAUGGACGCUGCUCCACUCUCCGCAAUAGGCUCCACGUGGUGGGGCACGGUGAUAGCCACGACCCCACCCAUUUACUCUCCAUAACAAACUCUUCUUGGCCCCGAGCGGCCCACUAUUAGGCAGUUACAAACAUCGCUAUCAAUCCGUUGCCCCUCCGCCUAUAAAAAGGAGGGUCCCAGAUACGUUAUUCUCUAAGCUCUA